AAGAAGUUAAGUGACAGAUAAACACUGUCAGGGCCUCAAGGUGAGCUCACGGACUGUUAUUAUCUUAGUCCUGGUUUUCGACUGACGACCACUUAUGUCAACACAUUCCCCCGGAGAGGUGUUCUGCAGGUAUUCUCCUUCCACAAUGUUAACUGGAGAGAAGGAGAGAUACUCAGAUUAAGUUGUGAAAAGGGUUCUGUAAAGUUCAUUGCACACUUCAUCGUGAAAUGGCUUUUGGAUGAACACCGAAACAGCUGCAUCUGGCGUUCAGCAAGGUAGACCCUCCAUCGUCUCAUGAGAUCACAAGAGCCGCCGUUUGGAUUCGAUUGAAAAUCUAGAUUCACGUGAUGGAGGACGGUAAAACAAAGAGCAAUGGCAACACAAAGGAUGUCAGACUUCACGUGGACGAGAAACCAAACGGUCGCGAAGAAGGUCGGUACUACAUACCAGCUCGUUAUAUACUCACCUUCAUGUCCUUCCUCGGCUUCUUCAACGUGUACUGUCUGCGGGCCAACCUGAGCGUUGCCAUAGUUUCCAUGGUCAAUUCUACCACAAAGGAGAAUGCUAGUGUUACUGAGGAGUGUCCAGAACCGACGAAAGCAAACAACACCAACUCGACCUCAACUACCUCAACAGGAGAGUUCGACUGGGACGAGAAGACUCAAGGGCUGAUACUCGGAGCCUUCUUCUACGGGUACAUCGUGACGCAGAUUCCGGGUGGCUGGCUGGCCGGGAGAUUCGGAGGUAAACGACUGUUUGCGUACGGCCUUCUGUGCACCUCCGUGUUAACCUUGGUGACCCCAUUGGCUGCUCGCGCUGGUGUUGGUGUCGUGGUGGCCGUGCGCGUGCUGGAGGGCAUCGGGGAGGCUGUGACCUUUCCUGCCAUGCACUCCAUGUGGGGAGUGUGGUCGCCGGUCUAUGAACGCAGCAAAGCAGUUGCUUUCAGCCACGGAGGUUCGCAUCUGGGCACGGUGUUCGCCUUAUCGAUUUCUGGCAUUUUAUGUCAAAACGGAUUUGCUGGUGGAUGGCCUUCCGUCUUCUACGUGUUUGGUGCCCUGGGCUGUCUGUGGUUUGUAGGAUGGAUGCUUUUGGUCAGCGAGACACCAGCCACACAUCCCCGCAUCUCGGAUAAAGAGCGGCGCUACAUUGAAAGCAACCUGGGCGCCAAGGCGGAAAGUGUUAACAUUCCAUGGAAGAGCAUCUUAACCUGCAAGGCUUUAUGGGGCACAGCAGCCGGGCACUUCGCGUUCAACUGGGGCUCCUACAGCAUGCUGACCUGUCUGCCCACCUACUUGAAGAAGAUCCUUCAUUACGACGUUAAGGAAGAAGGUUUCUUGUCGGCCGUGCCAUACCUGAUGCUGUGGGUGACUAUGAUCAUUGCUGGAUACUUAGCCGACUAUCUUCGCGGUAAUGGCUACCUGACUACAGUGGCCACCCGUAAGAUCUUCUUCUCUUUAGGUGCAGUGCUUCCCACGGGUCUGUUGAUUGGCACGUGCUUCGUAGGGUGUAACCACACGCUGGCCGUCAUCCUGCUCACGCUGUCUGUGGGAUUUUCGGGAUUCAGUACUGCAGGCUACAUCCCUAACCAUCUUGACAUAGCCCCACGAUUUGCAGGUAUUCUGUAUGGGAUCACCAAUGCUGUCGCUACCAUACCUGGGUUUCUUGGUCCCCAAAUUGUCGGGGUUCUGACAAACAAUAAUCUGCAAGUAGCGUUUCCACCUUUAUCAGCGAUUACAGACGACAAUUGUCAUUGUCCACAUCGUCGCUCUCCCAGCUGGCGUUCAGCAAGGUAGACCCUCCUUCAUCUCGUGGGAUCUCAAGCGCCUCCGUUUGGAUUCGAUUGAUGCGCGUGAUGGAGGACGGUAAAACAAAGAGCAAAGGCAACACAAAGGAUGUCAAACUUCACGUGGACGACAAACCAAACGGUCGCGAAGAAGGUCGGUACUACAUACCAGCCCGAUAUAUACUCACCUUCAUGUCCUUCCUCGGCUUCUUCAACGUGUACUGUCUGCGGGCCAACCUCAGCGUUGCCAUAGUUUCCAUGGUCAAUUCUACCACAUAGGAGAAUGCUAGUGUUACUGAGGAGUGUCCAGAACCGACGAAAGUAAACAACACCAACUCGACCUCAACUACCUCAACAGGAGAGUUCGACUGGGACGAGAAGACUCAAGGGCUGAUACUCGGAGCCUUCUACUAUGGGUAUGUCGUGACGCAGAUUCCGGGUGGCUGGCUGGCCGGGAGAAUCGGAGGUAGACGACUGUUUGGGUACGGGC
rnacentral:misc_RNA from 1 species